UCUUGUGUCACAAAAGCAGUCUUAUGUC
rnacentral:piRNA from 1 species